GUAAGCAAAUAAGGAAACUGUUGAGAACUUUCUCUGAAGACAGUCUGAACAAUUUCAGACACAGAGAACUGAGAACUGUUUCAGAGCUGGUGAAGCUUUCGUCUUAGCACCAGUUUCACCGUUGUGGCUGUUCACGUCUUAGGGAACGCUCCGGAGGGUAAUUUGUCCUGUCACUGUGUUUUGCUUUUGCGGUUGCGGAAGUCGUUGCGCAAGCCUUUUCAGGAGGUAAAAUCAGUUCCAAAGCCUGGUCCGACAGCUGUGUGCCCCAGGAGCCUGUGGUCCUUUGCUUUGAACAUUUCUCCCUAGGUUAAGUAGCUCACACAAAGCGCAAGGGACUCUGCAAGCUUUCUACACUUCUCCUCACUCUCCCAGGAUCCCGACUUCUCUGCGAUGCCACUAACACCCAAUCGAGAAGGAAAGAAAUUCCCCAUCAACCUACUCCAGGGGUUUAAAGUUGGCCACGGGAUUAAAAGCAGGUAGGCUUUUCCCUCCCUCGCAACACAGGGUCUCACGCUUGCUGUGUAGCUGCUCAUGAGUUUAAACUUCUGGCCUCCUGCCCGUGAGCUACACUGAAAAUUCAGGUAGGUCAUCCCUUAAGGACAUCUCCCAGUUUUCUUUACCUGUAUUUUUCCUGUGUUCACUGUAAACUUCCUGCAAGCAAUGGGCUCUGCAAGCAUUUUGUGUUUUCCUCAAGUGAGAAAAACGGUGUGUGGCUACUUCUCCAAGCCUGGGGGUCUUCCUACUCACCAGGCAUUUAACUGCUACUCUACAGAAGGAACCUCGUGUGGGAGAGACAAGGAGACUGUUUCAACUACGGUCAUAUCUUGCGAUUUAAUUACUGGAAUUAACUACAGGCAUUUAGAAAUUCCUGGUGCUUACCUACCUGCUCUUGACUGCGUAUCAUCUCAACCUUUGAGUGGAUGGUAAACUGAGAGGCUUUUAGGGAAGGUAGCAUCAGCGUCUUCUCCCAGAAUUCUCCAGUAAAACUCCCCUUUGGGCAUCAACAACACGUGCCUCUCUGCCUCCUCACCGCCAUUUGUGCUGUCAGCCUUAAUUCUCCCCAGAGCCGGGAGCUCUUGUCACUGCUACAGGAAGGAGAAAAGGCAACUUACGAUUUCAUGAGUAUCAAGGUUGAGUUAUGCCUCCAGAGAUAUUCUCCUUAUAGAUGUCAAGGAUUCCAGGCUACCACUGAAUCAUGCAUUCGUGUCCUUGACUCUAACUUAAUCAUCCAUAACCUUUGGUGAAGAAUUAGUGUGCUAAAGACUGAAGAUCCUUGUCAAAAUGACCUGGGCCAUUGCUGACCCAGUGUGGUUGCUCUGACCUCAUUCCCUUGGCCUCUAGGAUGAAAAGUCUAAGCCUCUCUUUUAAAAGCUCUUGUGUUUACUUGACAUUAAUCAGCAGAGGUGAUGGCAUGGACCCCUUUAAAGCUUUGCCCUGACACUGUUUGACAGAUGAAGAAGUUGACGCUCUGGUCACUUGGGGAUCUUGCCCAAGUGUACCCUGUAAGAUCGAAGCUCUUCACCUUUGACCAGCGUGACAGCUAUAACACCAGGCAGAAGCACUAAUUCACAAUGACAGGCAUGCAGGACUGGAGGGAUGGCUCAGCAGUUAAGAGCACCGUCUGCUCUUCCAGAGGUCCCGAGUUCAAUUCCCAGCAACGACAUGGCGGCUCACAAUGACAGGCAUGCACAGACACUAUUCUAGAACACGCUUCAGAUGACUCAAGACGGAAAGAUUGAAAUGCCUACUUCACCUGAAUGCAUGCUACUUCAGCUGAUACCAAGAACCCUUCAUUCACGCAAGGUGUGCCAGGCAAAGACGCUGUCAUGCUGGGGUUCUGAUAUUUUGGACUUGCCACAGAACUGGGCAUCCGUCAUAGGGUAAUUCAGGUCUUAAAAACAGGAAGUGCUAAAAUAAUAAUAAUAAUAAUAAUAAUAAUAAUAAUAACAAUAACAAUGGAGCACUGCCAUUUUCUUAGUUCUGCAUUUCCCAAGCUUCCAUGAAGGCCCUUUGCUGUUCCUGAUUCGGCUUGCUUCUUCCCAGCAUGUCUUUCCUCUUGCCUUAGAAAUACUGCUGCUCUAAGAACCAGAGCAGAAUUGAGAGCAAAAUGGGGAGAUGGCUCUGUUGCCAAGUUGUGAGGACCUGAGUUCAAAUCCCCAGAAUCCACGUAAAAAGUCCGAUGUUGUGGCACACACUUGUAAUCCUGGCAAUGGCAAGGUGGGAGGCGGAGACAGGUAGAUCCCUAUAAGCUCGCUCUCAGCUCGUCUAGUCUAGUUGGCGAAGUUCCAGGCCGGUGAGAAACACUGUGUCAAACAGAAGAUGGGAAGUACCUGAAGGAUGGAACCUGAGGCUGUCCUCUGACCUUCACAUGUGUGUAUGCAUGCACGCAUGCACACUUGUACUCACACACUGAACAUGCACACACACACGUGCGCAAACGCAAACACAAUUUCCAAAGGAAAUUUGAAUUAACAUAGAAAAAAAAAAUCAGUCUCAAGUGCACUGGAGCUUACCUUGCUCACUCCUACGAAGAGGAGACGCAGCGGCACCCACCUCACCCAAGUCAGUGUGUGCGACCCCCCCACGCUGCGUUCAAAGGCACUGCUCGCAGCCUCUUGUGGGUGGGGAGGGGGUGGGAAGGAAGGGUUGUCCAGGUGUCGCCUGCUCGGACACCUGGGAAGAACUGUGUGUGAGUUUCACUUUCCCUGGGUUACCAUCUCUCCUUCUCAGUCUUUCUGGAACGGUAAGGCCCAAUGGUGAAAAUCAGAACCUUUCCUCAAAAGUCAAGUACUGUGGACGCGGCUUCAUCGUGAGAAGACGCUAGAAGAUCUGGAAACUGUAGGGAGAAGGCGUCUCACCUCCGGUGACCCUUCUGCCCGUUACACAUGGGUUUGUGCUUUGUUGUUGACACUUUCGCUAAAAAGGAAAUGAAUUUCUACUCAUUCCUCACCAUUUCCUUGAUUUCUUUUUCUUCCCUUUUACUAAUGAGGCUGUCUGUGUAGGAAGGAAGAGGAGGCCAGGGACAGGGAUAAAAGUGGCUAUCCACAUAAGCCUGAUGACUUGGGCUCUACCCCCAGGCCCCACUUUUCACCCCAAAGGCUGAUGUGGAGACAUGCAUCCGUAAGACCAAUGAUUCUAUGACAAGAUGGGAAACGGAGACAGGAGAAUCACCUGGAUGCCUCAGAUUGGAGCCUCGAACCCAGAAAGCCCGGCUUCUCCACCCACGCUCCUAACUACCUCACCAUAGUCCCUCUGUGUGGAGCAGCAGAGGGAACAGAAGACCCUUGUUGGGUAAUUGCAAAAAGGGCAAAGUAGGACCAAGUGAUGCCCAGGAUCACGGGGCGAUGCCCUGUCUGCCUGCGGCAUGUUUAACUUUGGUGACCAGACACAGCUUUGACCCAGCCCAGUGGAUGAGCCGGGAAAGUUGGCUCACACCACCAGCUAGGCCGGCAUGCCUGCUCCGCAUGCUCAUCUCUCACUGGUGCGGACACAGCUGGCCGAUGCCACUGGCGAAGGAAGCGGCGUUCAAAAGAGAACGAGUUGCGGCGUUAGAACGGGAGCGUUAGCACGGAGCGGAACGCUUCUGUUUGGUGAGAGCAGCCGGGCCUACCUGUGGCUGCCGCUUCGUUCCCUAGGCCGUACGUUCCUAUCGAAUCCAUAGAAGUUCCUGAAACCUGUGCUGCAACGGUUUAGAUUUUUCUAUAUCGUCUUCAGAAAACAGGAAGAGGUUGUGAAAAACUACCGGGGAGGCGGGUGUCUGGGAAUGACGUCCAGCCGUGAGCGGAUCGUCAGCUGACCCUUAACGUACAGUUCUUCUCACAGACCCCGAGUUCUGUCCACCGAGAGUCCGCUGCCCGCCUCGCUGUUUCAGUCUUGUAUGGGAAGCACAGGGAGAGUGACAGGUCAUGGUAAAGCUUUGGGAUCCUCUGAGCGAGCUGGGGAACAAGCGGUGGGCUCAGCCAUUUAUUUCUUUUUGGAAAUAAAUGGGCAAGAGCGAGAGGGAGAGCUGUAUGUGUAAGCAGUCUGUCCUUUAUAAUGGUGUUCGUGAAUUAAGAUAAGUUUUCCCCAGAAAGAAUAUGAGCUGUGGAUAGACUCUCAGGCUAACUCACAACAGGAGAACUUAAGAAAGAAGACAACAACAAACAAACAAACAAACAAACGCUGUAUGCUUCCAACUAACAUAACAAAGAAAUUUAUCCUGUUGAAAUGCCCCAAUGACGUCAUUUGUUUAUUUGGAAAACAAAUGCUUUUCUAAAGGGCCAUUUUAAUUCAAAACUGGCUUGGAAAAAUGAGGUUUCGGUGCAGAUAUUGACAGGACUUUCAAGAGACUUUGAAGAUUUGGGGGUUUUUAGGACAGCUCUAAUUACGCCAGUACCUAGAGUAGGUCCUGAAACGUCAGGUGUUUUGCGAACUCUUAUCAGAAAGUUGUUUUCACUUCAAGAAGUAUGACUUUCCCCCAUCCUGACACAGAAACAAAAUCAUUAAAGCUGCACUGUGCCAUGAACGGAAUAAAGAGGGACAGAGGAAGAAGAGCAGACAUAGGUUUCUUGAGACAUGAAUAAUUGCUAUCAGUAGCAGGUGAUAAUGAAGGCCAGGUAUCUUCUCAUUUUCCUUUCCUUCUCAUCCUACCCAAGAUACCCAAGAGAAAGGCACAGGUCACGAUGCUGUGUCACGGUUCUCUUAGCAAGCCACCAAGUGGCACUAUCAGCUAAGGACAGUGUAGGGCAGUGAGGGUUCAUGGCAGCUAGGGAAAAGCAGAAACGA